CGUUUCCACAAAACAUACUACUAAAAUUGGAAUGACAACAGAAGACUAUCACAGCCCCUGUGUAAGGUUGAUACAUGCAUUCAAGAAAUACUCCAGACUUUC